UAAGUAUUAUCAUCGAUAAGAGCUCUCCACACACAUUCACAGCAGGUGAAAGUUACAAAGCCUGGUGUACUUCACAGAUCACUAACCCAGUUCAAGAGCAAGAAGUUGAAAGCAGUUGACCACCAGAUGGGAUGUUGUAGCUAUGAAGUAAUGAUGUUGAAAUAUGUUUCUGUUGAGCACGAGUCGUCUGGAGGGGAAGACCAGUUUGAUUCUUGAAGUGCAGACAAACCCAUAAUGUACAGGUCGUAAAAAUUCACACAGCUGCACACAUACAAACAGAACACCAGAGUUGGCCAAUGCGGUGAGCAGAGGAUUCCUCAAAAUAUGAUUGCCACCUGAUUGAAUUAGGAGAAAAUCCCUCUUCAAGGCAGAAAGUAUCGAAUAGCAGUCUGGCCGAUUAUAACGCACAUGUGCUUUAAUGAAACAACACCUGAAGGAAGGAUUCAUCCUCACAAUGUCUGAUCUUCACUCUAAUGUGAUCCCUGGAGCUGCACGCACAAUGAUGGAUCCAGUAUCUCUUGAUAGAUUUCUGCGGCAUAAUAGAUCUGGGAUACGCCGGUCAACUUUGUUACACUGCUGGAACGGUCAGAUUCUGAAGAGAUCUUCCUUCUUGUGUCUCUGAGAAGCAUAGUCGUUUUGCAGGAGCAACCAUUUGCAAUGGAGCAGAAGAUGCCAUAAACUAUGCGAGUCUGACUGCUUACAAUAGUUUUAUCUUACCUGAGAUUGCUUGAGUCUUGCAAGAAAGAAAAUAAUUAUUUGCAACUAUUCUGAAUCAGCUGGGUUUUUUUUAACAUUAUUGGCAGGCCCCAUUUUGGCUGUAGAUGCAAGCUCAGAGUUUCCCAUGGACUGCAAGAAUCAGCCUGCUGUGGCUGGUUGGGUUCCUGGCAGAGUGAUUUGAUUUAAUAACGUAAAAUCACAUUGCCAGGGAUUACCAACCUGUCAACAGCUAAUGCCGACAACUUCUUGCAGAAAAUUGCAUCUUGCUAUUGGGGAGAGAGGAAUUGUACAUUUUUCCACGUCCUUAAUAAUCAAGGAAUCACUGGAACAAAAAAAAGAUGCAGCUGUAUCUACAUUGCCAUCAGCCAUCCCGAUCAUAUCGUAGCAGAUGUCUUGUACUCCCAUACAUUAAGAGUGGAAAGCCUUGCUUACUUUUACGAUACCCGUUCAUUUGGAAAGAUUGUGAUCAGACAAUGAGCAAUUCAAUGUUAGGUAGUAAUGUCAAAUGCACAGCAUCGUUUGAUGAUCAAUUAGACAUAACUCCUUAGUA